rnacentral:lncRNA from 1 species
GGGGACUGAUAGAGAGGGAAGUCACUCAUUGCUCUGAGGAUGGCACCAAGCCUUUCAAGAGGGAUCUGCUCCCACGACUGAAAUAUCUCCCAGCAGACCCCAACUCCAAAACUGGGGAUCACAUUUCAAUAUGAGAUUUGGAGGGACUAACAUAGAGACUAUAUCAGCCCCCAUUUAUCUGUAAUCCUUCUCUUUCUUUAAUAGAAGUUGGAGAGCUAAAAUUGUAGCCAUCUCAACAUCCUUUGCAACUAGGGAGAGUAAGACAGCACCAUUUCUACCCCAUGCGAUAUAUGUGCAGAUCUGCUUGGAGAGGGUCUCUUUUUUGAAUAAAAAGACAAAGCUACAAAAGAAGAAAAUGGCUCUGUUCUUUCUGCCUAGAUGUAGACAAGACCCCAGGAGCUGCAGCAGUCAUCUGCUCACACUGAAGUUCGUAGAACUAAAAGACGGAAGGAGCCUGGGAUGCUGAUGAAAUUGUGAAGCUACUGACACAAGCCCUGGACUGCCUAUCUCUGGACUCUACUGGAUGGGUCCACAUGGCAAGGAACCAAGGGUAGCCUCUGGCCAGCAACCAGAGAAGAUAAAGAUCUCCAACAACGUCUGCGUUUGGAAGAGGAUUGUUCUUCCGUAGAGUUUUCUGAUGAGGCCCCAGCCUUGGCAACAUCUUGACUGUCUCCUUGUAAAGGGACCUUGAGACAGAGGACUCAGCUCAGCCGUGCCAGACUCCUGACUCACAGAAACAGUGAGAUUAUAAAAACAAACUGUUUUAAGCCACUAAGUUUUGAGUAAUUUGUCACACAGUAGAUAAUAAACUUCCAUAGAAUCUUGAUAUUGAUCAUAUUUCUCUUUGCCUUAACAAUCUUGUGUCUGUGCCCCUACCCUGUUUUCCACAAAAAUAUCCAGAGAGACCCAACUAUUUUGCGAGUGAGGUAUUUUUCAUGAGAAUUUAGGGCAAGCAGAGACUUCAUCCUCUCUCCUCUCUUUUCCUUUCCCCUGAGCAAUGGACAAUAGCAUAUUAUUUACCUUGACCUGUGACAAACAGUUCUACCCAUAUUCAGGCCCAAGCACCUGUCAAAAACUACAGUUUCCCUAAAGGAAAACUAAUGAUUAUAGUAAAAAAGACACCUGCAUUCAUAUGUUUAUUGCAGCACUAUUCACAAUAGCAAAGUCAUGGAAUCAAUGUAAGUGUCCAGCAACAGAUUCAGAAGGUACAGAAAAUGUGGAUACAAAAAAUGUGGUGUGU